UGACGAGUGGCGGACGGGUGAGUAAUGUCUGGGGAUCUGCCCGAUAGAGGGGGAUAACCACUGGAAACGGUGGCUAAUACCGCAUAACGUCGCAAGACCAAAGAGGGGGACCUUCGGGCCUCUCACUAUCGGAUGAACCCAGAUGGGAUUAGCUAGUAGGCGGGGUAACGGCCCACCUAGGCGACGAUCCCUAGCUGGUCUGAGAGGAUGACCAGCCACACUGGAACUGAGACACGGUCCAG
rnacentral:rRNA from 1 species